rnacentral:misc_RNA from 1 species
GAUGAAGAACGCAGCGAAAUGCGAUAAGUAAUGUGAAUUGCAGAAUUCAGUGAAUCAUCGAAUCUUUGAACGCACCUUGCGCCUUUUGGUAUUCCGAAAGGCACACCUGUUUGAGCGUCAUGAAUACCUCAAUCUCCAUCUUUUCUUCGGAUUGAUGGGUGACUUGGAUGUUGAGCCCUGCUGGUAUGCUAUAUCAGCUGGCUUUAACCUUAUUAGCCGGCUCUGUACUGGAUCGGUUUGACUCGACGUGAUAAUAUUAUCGUUGAGGAUGCAUGUCUCAUGCAGCCGGAAAGUAUCAAAGCAGCUUCUAGCUUGCCUUUAGUGCACUUUUACAUUUUAGACCUCGGAUCAGGUGGGACUACCCGCUGAACUUAAGCAUAUCAAUAAGCGGAGGA